GAUGAACGCUGGCGGCGUGCCUAAUACAUGCAAGUCGAGCGAACAGACGAGGAGCUUGCUCCUCUGACGUUAGCGGCGGACGGGUGAGUAACACGUGGAUAACCUACCUAUAAGACUGGGAUAACUUCGGGAAACCGGAGCUAAUACAGGAUAAUAUAUUGAACCGCAUGGUUCAAUAGUGAAAGACGGUUUUGCUGUCACUUAUAGAUGUAUCCGCGCCGCAUUAGCUAGUUGGUAAGGUAACGGCCUACCAAGGCAACGAUGCGUAGCCGACCUGAGAGGGUGAUCGGCCACACUGGAACUGAGACACGGUCCAGACUCCUACGGGAGGCAGCAGUAGGGAAUCUUCCGCAAUGGGCGAAAGCCUGACGGAGCAACGCCGCGUGAGUGAUGAAGGUCUUCGGAUCGUAAAACUCUGUUAUUAGGGAAGAACAAAUGUGUAAGUAACUAUGCCCGUCUUGACGGUACCUAAUCAGAAAGCCACGGCUAACUACGUG
rnacentral:rRNA from 1 species